rnacentral:misc_RNA from 1 species
GUGUUUGGGUGGUGGC